rnacentral:rRNA from 1 species
UACGGGAGGCAGCAGUGGGGAAUAUUGCACAAUGGGCGCAAGCCUGAUGCAGCCAUGCCGCGUGUAUGAAGAAGGCCUUCGGGUUGUAAAGUACUUUUCAGCGGGGAGGAAGGCGAUGCGGUUAAUAACCGCGUCGAUUGACGUUACCCGCAGAAGAAGCACCGGCUAACUCCGUGCCAGCAGCCGCGGUAAUACGGAGGGUGCAAGCGUUAAUCGGAAUUACUGGGCGUAAAGCGCACGCAGGCGGUCUGUUUAAGUCAGAUGUGAAAUCCCCGGGCUUAACCUGGGAACUGCAUUUGAACUGGCAGGCUUGAGUCUUGUAGAGGGGGUAGAAUUCCAGGUGUAGCGGUGAAAUGCGUAGAGAUCUGGAGGAAUCCGGUGGCGAAGGCGGCCCCUGGGACAAGACUGACGCUCAGGUGCGAAAGCGUGGGGAGCAAACAGGAUUAGGAUACC